rnacentral:misc_RNA from 1 species
UGUUAAAGUCUCUUGUCGAGGCCAUCUACCAGUACCAGCAUCACCACCAAAGGAGCCUGCCUCAGCUUCCAAUCCACUCAGUGUAGGUGUAGCAGAAGCAGCAGCGACAGUGUUGUUAGCACUAUUAGCGGUAGUGACAACAGCAGUAGCGGCAGGAGGAGGGACACAAGCAGCAGUAGUAGAAUCGGAGUGGAACUCGUGCAAACCAGCAACCCGAGGCAUCAGCAUCAUCAUAUCGUAGUGGUGGCCCUGUGGUGGCAGAUUCCUGUGGGCAGCAGAGAAGCGUUCAGCUGGCUGUGGCUGUGGGAUUGCAGGGAAAUGGGUAGGUCUCCCGCUGAUGAACUGCCUGAGAUCUAUGCUAUACUGA